rnacentral:lncRNA from 1 species
UCAAAAAGUGCAUGAAUAAUGAUUUUUUUUUUUUUUUAUAGAGAUAGAUAACAUACUAUCCGUUUCGUUUAUUUCAUUUAGAAGUAAACUUAGCUAGAAAUGUGAAUCAACUAGAACUCGAACUUGGGACCUCAGGUACCGACAGUCAAACCUUUUGCCAUUUGUGCUAGGGACGGUCAGUAAUAAUGAUUGUUUUUAAUUUAAAAUUUGAUAGUGAUAUUAUUAUAGAUUCAAAAAUUAGAAAUUUAUAGAGUACUAUUUAUGUGCUUUUUAAAGUU